rnacentral:rRNA from 1 species
UACGUAGGUGGCAAGCGUUGUCCGGAUUUACUGGGCGUAAAGGGCGUGCAGGCGGUUUGUUAAGUGCAGGGUGAAAGCUCCCGGCUCAACUGGGAGAGGUCCUUGCAUACUGGCAAACUCGAGGGAGGCAGAGGAAAGUGGAAUUCCCGGUGUAGUGGUGAUAUGCGUAGAUAUCAGGAAGAACACCCGUGGCGAAGGCGGCUCUCUGGGACGGUACUGACGCUGAGACGCGAAAGCGUGGGGAGCGAACAGG